rnacentral:lncRNA from 1 species
CAUGAAGCUGUUUUUUCGCAUUACAGAGAUUUAUAUGUUUGCGUUUACAUAUUGCAGGUGUUUCCAUAAAAGCUCGGGGUAGACACAUUCAGGAUGGCCUGAAAGAAAAUGGAGAAGUGCUUAAAAUGUUACUGAGCACACUUACAAAUAUCAUCCUGGAGCAGAAGAGUGAAGUCACUGCAGAAACGAGGGAGCACAGGCAGAUCCCUUCAUGCCUUUGGAAGCUCUGGCUAUCACUGCACCAGGUGGAAAAAGACUGUGGACAGGAAUUAUCUAAGGACCACAAUUCAGGCACUGAAGGAGCAAAACUGCAACCCACCCAAUAUAAUUCCUGUAAACUCAAUGUGCCAAGGUUUCCAACAAGCACCAUCUCUGGUAACCACAGUCAUUCCCAUGCCAGGCCUUACAGAAACUGGUCAGAAUGGUUUUGGAGAUCUGGACAGCCCCUGAUCUUUCUGAGGAAGGAAAAAGCAGCUCAGCUGAGCUACAAAGUCAGCCUCCUUGGGCUUGCAUUAAUUUGAUGUGCAUCCAUCUUAAUUGAAGCUGAUCCAUUUCAGCUUUGGCAGCACAUUGAUAAUAAACAGGAACCAAACACCA